UGGCUCAGGACGAACGCUGGCGGCGUGCCUAACACAUGCAAGUCGAGCGGAGAAUGCGGAUAUGUUUACAUGGAAGCAUCUUAGCGGCGGACGGGUGAGUAACACGUGGGUAACCUGCCUCAAAGAGGGGGAUAGCCUUCCGAAAGGAAGAUUAAUACCGCAUAAGCCUGCAGUACCGCAUGGUACAGCAGGAAAGGAGCAAUCCGCUUUGAGAUGGACCCGCGGCGCAUUAGCUAGUUGGUGAGGUAACGGCUCACCAAGGCGACGAUGCGUAGCCGACCUGAGAGGGUGAUCGGCCACAUUGGAACUGAGACACGGUCCAGACUCCUACGGGAGGCAGCAGUGGGGAAUAUUGCACAAUGGGCGAAAGCCUGAUGCAGCAACGCCGCGUGAAUGAUGAAGGCCUUCGGGUCGUAAAGUUCUUUGAUCAGGGAUGAUAAUGACAGUACCUGAAAAACAAGCCACGGCUAACUACGUGCCAGCCGCCGC
rnacentral:rRNA from 1 species